rnacentral:misc_RNA from 1 species
UCUCCGUAGGUGAACCUGCGGAGGGAUCAUUACAGAGUUCAUGCCCUACCGGGUAUAUCUCCCACCCUAUGUUAUUAUUACUUUGUUGCUUUGGCGGGCCGUUAGGCUCCUGCCCGACUACCGGCCCCGGCUGGUAAGCGACCGCCAGAGGACCCAAAACCCUGAAUAUUAGUGUCGUCUGAAUACUAUAUAAUAGUUAAAACUUUCAACAACGGAUCUCUUGGUUCUG